rnacentral:piRNA from 1 species
UGCUCAGGAUUGUCGCAUUCCUCCCUCAGU